rnacentral:sRNA from 1 species
AUUAAAUGGAUUCGACCCGAAAUUGAAGGUGCAGUUGUUAAAGGCCGAGUUUGAUAUGAAAGACGAGGAUAAACCCUGACUGGAGGUAUGCUGCAUGGUAUUAAACACAGACUGUGAGAGUGAAGGUGAAACGGUGGGCUCGACAUCUGCCUGUUGUGGAAGUGCGGUAGUAAUCCUGGAAGUGCACGGGGAAGCAACCAUAGAGGACGAUGACUCCGCCGAAGAGGACGAUGACUCCGAUAAAGAGGAAGCUUUAGCGACUUUAGCCAACGCAUGACUCAGGUGUCGCUUUUGUGCCGUUGAACAGUCCCUGUUGUAGGAUCUGACAGAUGCUUCAUUUCGAUGGCCACUCAUGUACAUGAUAUGGCGGAUUUCAAACCCUUCAUCAUUUAAAGCUUGUAUUGCUGUGCUGCGGAGACAGUGUGCUGUGUAUUUCCGGGAGCAACCAGCAUUCCUGGAGAUAUCUGGCAUAAAUUUUGAAAACUGGUAUGGUUUGCAGGGUUUAGCUAGGUACCAGAUAUCAGUGGUUUGUGGUGAGGAUAAGGCUGCUUUACUGCAGUGGUUAAAGAGAAACGUUGCUUGAGGAUCGAUAUGCUGGAGAAAAGUCUUAAGUGUUUGAACAGGACAAUUCGAAUCACCAGUCGCAUACAUUCUUUUGUCGUGGGGUGCUUCCUGGUUUUCUAGCCCUCCUUGCCAGUUCUUUUGCUUAGUUUCGUGGGAGAGGGACACAUAUUCAACUCCCUUGUCAUCUUUAAGGAAGAGAAAGGACUUGGGAGUCAACUGUUGGUGAAAUUCUAAACCCCAUGAUACGAAAUGAAGGGAUAAAUUGAACCAGACACGAUAGCGGAGAAUAACAGGGCAGGAGAUGGAUGACAAGUAUUGUGAUAUUUUGUGAAGAUCAUCGGGGGACACUACUGCCUUGUGCUGAGUAGGUUUGGAAAGUCCGAGGGCCAUGUUCUGCUUAGGUUUUCCUGCAAGAGCCCCGUUGGCUUGUUUAAAAGCUUUGUCAUGGACUAUAUCCAUGUCCCUUCCUAUGUCACUGAGAUGACGAUUGAUGGCAGACCUGAUACCUUUUAAUGUGUUUUUGUGAUAUUCGAUUGACAUUUUAUUUUCCUUUUCGCCAUUGAAAUCAGGUUUCGGUUGUACUUCUGUGUAAAACCAUCUCAAGUGAUUAUUUAGCUCUUCUUUUGAAAUUGACUGCAGAUCAAGUUGAAAUCCAAAUUUCUCAAUGCUCCAAUCUGAAUUUUUUUUUCUAUGUUAGUGUUUUGAUUACAUUUUUUUUUUAUUUUAUGUUUCAAGUUUUGUGGAUUUUUAGUAAAUUUUUGAAAAGUUUAAUUUUCAUGUUAACUUUGCUUUUUGACAGAUUUUGCUGUUAGACAUUCUCUUUUUUCUUAUUUUAAGUUAUAACAUUACACAUGUUUAUUGUUAAUAUAUUUAUUUCACCUGCAUUUAGGUGUUGUUUUUUAAUUAUUGCUUUUUUUCCAUUUAGGUAUUAUGAAGUUUUCAAAUAUUUUUAUUUGGGUUAUAAACAAGUGGCAGAUAAUUUUCCCUUUGUUAUUGUAUGUUAUUACAAGUUUUAGACCCACCUUGCAAAAUUUUCAUUCCCCAUUUUGUUUUGGCUUUUGUUGUUGAAGAUUGCUUUUUUGAUUCAAUUUCACACAGCUCCUCAACAGUUAAUGAUUUAAAUCUUUGUUUUGGUUUCUCAGCAAUGGCUGGUAGCGGUGGCCUUUGAUCUUCUUCAAAAGCUUUGGUCAUUUCAGUUAUAGCUUGAUUGGUGCUUGUAGAUACAGCUACUUCAUUCAGUGUGAAUUCUUGAUCGUCAUUAUCGAGCAAAAAUGCCAACAUAUCUUCGUCCAAAUCGUCCUCAUUGUAGCCCAGUUUAAUUCGUUCCGUUAUAUUUCCAAGAUCAAAGGUCGCCGGUUGAUCAGCCAUGUUUAUGAUCGAACUUGUAUGAUACGCAGACGAUAACGUGAGAUUAAAUGGGAUUUUUUUUAAUUUGCGUCAUCAUUGUGUUUUAAUGUUUAAUGUUUUAAAUUGUUUGUUUGUGACUGCGUAUUUUAUUGUUUACAAUAAAAAGAAAUUCAUCAUG